CUUCGGGUUGUAAAGCACUUUCAGUCGUGAGGAAGGUAGUGUAGUUAAUAGCUGCAUUAUUUGACGUUAGCGACAGAAGAAGCACCGGCUAACUCCGUGCCAGCAGCCGCGGUAAUACGGAGGGUGCGAGCGUUAAUCGGAAUUACUGGGCGUAAAGCGCAUGCAGGUGGUUUGUUAAGUCAGAUGUGAAAGCCCGGGGCUCAACCUCGGAAUUGCAUUUGAAACUGGCAGACUAGAGUACUGUAGAGGGGGGUAGAAUUUCAGGUGUAGCGGUGAAAUGCGUAGAGAUCUGAAGGAAUACCGGUGGCGAAGGCGGCCCCCUGGACAGAUACUGACACUCAGAUGCGAAAGCGUGGGGAGCAAACAGGAUUAGAUACCCUGGUAGUCCACGCCGUAAACGAUGUCUACUUGGAGGUUGUGGCCUUGAGCCGUGGCUUUCGGAGCUAACGCGUUAAGUAGACCGCCUGGGGAGUACGGUCGCAAGAUUAAAACUCAAAUGAAUUGACGGCGGCCCGCACAAGCGGUGGAGCAUGUGGUUUAAUUCGAUGCAACGCGAAGAACCUUACCUACUCUUGACAUCCAGAGAACUUUUCAGAGAUGGAUUGGUGCCUUCGGGAACUCUGA
rnacentral:rRNA from 1 species